UGGGGAAUAUUGCACAAUGGGCGAAAGCCUGAUGCAGCGACGCCGCGUGAGGGAUGACGGCCUUCGGGUUGUAAACCUCUUUCAGCAGGGACGAAGCGCAAGUGACGGUACCUGCAGAAGAAGCACCGGCUAACUACGUGCCAGCAGCCGCGGUAAUACGUAGGGUGCAAGCGUUGUCCGGAAUUACUGGGCGUAAAGAGUUCGUAGGCGGUUUGUCGCGUCGUUUGUGAAAACCAGCAGCUCAACUGCUGGCUUGCAGGCGAUACGGGCAGACUUGAGUACUGCAGGGGAGACUGGAAUUCCUGGUGUAGCGGUGAAAUGCGCAGAUAUCAGGAGGAACACCGGUGGCGAAGGCGGGUCUCUGGGCAGUAACUGACGCUGAGGAACGAAAGCGUGGGUAGCGAAC
rnacentral:rRNA from 2 species